rnacentral:lncRNA from 1 species
UCCGUCGUAACUAGUCUUUUCUCAGUUCGCACAGUCGCUGCCGCGAGCUUCUAUUUCCCCUGCUCGUGCCGCCGUGCUAGGGCUUUGACGUCGCUGCUCGCACUGUCGCGAACAUCCCCGGAGGAAGUGGCGGAAUAGAGAAAGAUUGGGGGAAGAGAAGAUGAGGCUCUCAUGGCGUACGGUUUUCGGAGGAUUAACAGAGGAAUGUGACUAAAUUGAAUAGCAGGGUUCACUCGAGGAUCAAUUGGGAUGGUGGUUAUCGUGUUCUUGAUGAUUGAAUUCGUGUUCUGGUUUCGAAGAAGCUGAUUGUUUGAGUAGUGAAGAAGAAUGACGAAUGACAAAUGGAAGAUUGGGGAAGUUCUUGUGGAGCGGUAGUAGUAAAAGUAAUGAUUUUAAUUUGC